CCUACGGGAGGCAGCAGUGGGGAAUAUUGCACAAUGGGCGCAAGCCUGAUGCAGCGACGCCGCGUGGGGGAUGACGGCCUUCGGGUUGUAAACUCCUUUCGCUAGGGACGAAGCUUUUUGUGACGGUACCUAGAUAGGAAGCACCGGCUAACUACGUGCCAGCAGCCGCGGUAAU
rnacentral:rRNA from 1 species